rnacentral:rRNA from 1 species
CUUAAAUGAAUUGACGGGGCCCGCACAAGCGGAGGAACAUGUGGUUUAAUUCGAUGAUACGCGAGGAACCUUACCUGGGCUUAAAUGGGGAGUGACAGCUGUCGAAAGAUGGUUUCUUCGGACACUCUUCAAGGUGCUGCAUGGUUGUCGUCAGCUCGUGCCGUGAGGUGUCGGGUUAAGUCCCAUAACGAGCGCAACCCUUACCGUUAGUUACCAUCAGGUUAAGCUGGGGACUCUAGCGGGACUGCCACCGUAAGGUGAGAGGAAGGUGGGGAUGACGUCAAAUCAGCACGGCCCUUAUGUCCAGGGCUACACACGUACUACAAUGGUCGGUACAAAGGGCUGCGAACCCGCGAGGGGGAGCCAAUCCCAAAAAGCCGACCUCGGUUCGGAUUGUAGUCUGCAACUCGACUACAUGAAGGUGGAAUCGCUAGUAAUCGCGGAUCAGCAUGCCGCGGUGAAUACGUUCCCGGGCCUU